rnacentral:tRNA from 1 species
UAGCUCAACUGGCAGAGCAGCGGACUCUUAAUCCGCGGGUUCGGGGUUCGAGUCCCU